rnacentral:rRNA from 1 species
ACGGGUGAGUAACGCGUGGGAACGUGCCCUUCGGUUCGGAAUAACUCAGGGAAACUUGAGCUAAUACCGGAUACGUGCGAGAGCAGAAAGGUUUAUCUGCCGAAGGAUCGGCCCGCGUCUGAUUAGCUAGUUGGUGAGGUUACGGCUCACCAAGGCGACGAUCAGUAGCUGGUCUGAGAGGAUGAUCAGCCACACUGGGACUGAGACACGGCCCAGACUCCUACGGGAGGCAGCAGUGGGGAAUAUUGGACAAUGGGGGCAACCCUGAUCCAGCCAUGCCGCGUGAGUGAUGACGGCCUUAGGGUUGUAAAGCUCUUUUCUCCGGGACGAUAAUGACGGUACCGGAGGAAUAAGCCCCGGCUAACUUCGUGCCAGCAGCCGCGGUAAUACGAAGGGGGCUAGCGUUGCUCGGAAUCACUGGGCGUAAAGGGCGCGUAGGCGGCUGAUUUAGUCGAGGGUGAAAGCCCGUGGCUCAACCACGGAAUGGCCUUCGAUACUGAUUGGCUCGAGACCGGGAGAGGACAGCGGAACUGCGAGUGUAGAGGUGAAAUUCGUAGA